UCCGCAAGCCAAUCGGUCGCGGGUGCCAAACCAGAAGCGAUCCGGAAGGGCCGCUCCAAGGAGGCAUUCGAGGAAAGUCCGGACACCACAGAGCAAUGGCGGUCGAGUAAUUCGACCCGGGGAAACCCGAGGGAAAGUGCCACAGAAAUCAAACCGCCUAAGUCGUCACGCGUUCGCGCGCGGCGACCGGUAAGGGUGAAACGGUGCGGUAAGAGCGCACCAGCGUCACGGCGACGUGACGGCUUGGUAAACCCCGCUUGGUGCAAGAUCAAACAGGACCGUUGACGCUGCUCGCCGAGGUCCAGGUGGAUCGCAGGGGACGACAGGAAACAGUUCGCAAGAGCAGUGGAAUUGAGACCCCGCCUCUCAAGCCGCAAGGCUCCGGCCCCAAGCUAUGAGAGGCAGACAGAUGGCCGAUCAACGACAGAAUCCGGCUUACAGGCUUGCUAAGGGA
rnacentral:RNase_P_RNA from 1 species